UUUUGCUUCCUUUUACCAUUAUAUUGACAUUCCAAUAACUUUUAAGAUUUGAAUGUUUUGUAAAUUCCGUGUCAUUCGUUCAAAAGUUUUUUAUCUUUUGUAUGGUUUUCGCAUUUUUUUGCAGUUUAUAAUUUUUUAUGUUAAAUCUUGAGCAUAAAAUUAAAAACGAUGUCAAGUUGUUUCGCUUUGAUUGACGGUUGUAGACUAUUUUUAUUGCAAUCUAUCACAAUUUUACAAACAUUGACAAUUAUACGACAAGUUGUUGAUUUUAUGGAGGAUUAACGAUGACUCGACGGAAUUUUUAAGAUGUUACGGAAUAAAUGACAAAUUCUUGAUUUCACGAUAAAUUAGCUUCAAAAACAGUUUUUACGACGCAACGAAAACCAUGCGAAUCUUUAACAGAUUAUAAUAUCUUAAAUAGUUUUACACUA